rnacentral:sRNA from 1 species
AGGAGGUGCCUUUCAGGCAUCCUCUCCCAAACUUCCAAAGGGGGCCAGCGCAAUCUGGCCCCCUUUUUUUGUCGAUU